rnacentral:rRNA from 1 species
AGUGAACGCUGGCGGUAGGCCUAACACAUGUAAGUCGAACGGCAGCACAGUAAGAGCUUGCUCUUACGGGUGGCGAGUGGCGGACGGGUGAGGAAUACAUCGGAAUCUACUUUUUCGUGGGGGAUAACGUAGGGAAACUUACGCUAAUACCGCAUACGACCUACGGGUGAAAGCAGGGGAUCUUCGGACCUUGCGCGAUUGAAUGAGCCGAUGUCGGUUUAGCUAGUUGGCGGGGUAAAGGCCCACCAAGGCGACGAUCCGUAGCUGGUCUGAGAGGAUGAUCAGCCACACUGGAACUGAGACACGGUCCAGACUCCUACGGGAGGCAGCAGUGGGGAAUAUUGGACAAUGGGCGCAAGCCUGAUCCAGCCAUACCGCGUGGGUGAAGAAGGCCUUCGGGUUGUAAAGCCCUUUUGUUGGGAAAGAAAAGCAGCAGGUUAAUACCCCGCUGUUCUGACGGUACCCAAAGAAUAAGCACCGGCUAACUUCGUG